rnacentral:rRNA from 2 species
AUAGGAAGAUAAAAGGCAUCUUUUAUCUUUUAAAAGACCUAGUAAUAGGUAUGCUUUAGGAGGGGCUUGCGCCAUAUUAGUUAGUUGGUAGGGUAAUGGCCUACCAAGACGAUGAUGUGUAGCUGGACUGAGAGGUUGAACAGCCACAUUGGGACUGAGACACGGCCCAAACUCCUACGGGAGGCAGCAGUAGGGAAUUUUCGGCAAUGGAGGAAACUCUGACCGAGCAACGCCGCGUGAAUGACGAAGUACUUCGGUAUGUAAAGUUCUUUUAUCAAGGAAGAAAAGCAAAUGGCGAACCAUUUGUUUGCCGGUACUUGAUGAAUAAGCCCCGGCUAAUUAUGUGCCAGCAGCCGCGGUAAGACAUAAGGGGCAAGUGUUAUCCGGAAUUAUUGGGCGUAAAGGGUGCGUAGGCGGUCUAGUAAGUCAGUGGUGUAAUGGCAACGCUUAACGUUGUCCGGCUAUUGAAACUGCUAAACUUGAGUUAGAUAGAGGCGAGUGGAAUUCCAUGUGUAGCGGUAAAAUGCGUAAAUAUAUGGAGGAACACCAGAGGCGUAGGCGGCUCGCUGGGUCUUAACUGACGCUGAGGCACGAAAGCGUGGGGAGCAAACAGGAUUAGAUACCCUGGUAGUCCACGCCGUAAACGAUGAGUACUAAGUGUCGGGUUAAACCGGUACUGAAGUUAACACAUUAAGUACUCCGCCUGAGUAGUACGUACGCAAGUAUGAAACUUAAAGGAAUUGACGGGACUCCGCACAAGCGGUGGAUCAUGUUGUUUAAUUCGAAGAUACCCGAAAAACCUUACCAGGUCUUGACAUGUUUUUGCAAAAUGAUAGUAAUAUCGUGGAGGUUACCAGAAACACAGGUGGUGCAUGGUUGUCGUCAGCUCGUGUCGUGAGAUGUUAGGUUAAGUCCUAAAACGAGCGAAACCCUUAUCGUUAGUUGCCAGCACGUUAUGGUGGGGACUUUAACGAGACUGCCAAUGAUAAAUUGGAGGAAGGUGAGGAUCACGUCAAAUCAGCAUGCCCCUUAUGACCUGGGCUACAAACGUGAUACAAUGGCUGUUACAAAGGGUAGCUGAAACGCAAGUUCUUGGCCAAUCCCCAAAAACAGUCCCAGUCCGGAUUGAAGUCUGCAACUCGACUUCAUGAAGUUGGAAUCGCUAGUAAUCGCGAAUCAGCAUGUCGCGGUGAAUACGUUCU